GCAUGUCGCUCCCGUGUAGGUUGGAGGCCCAGCUGGAAUGGGGACUUCUCUGAGAGCAAGAUCAUUUGUCCUUGGUGUGAUGGUGGCUUCAUUAACUUGGGCCAUUAUCAUAUAUCUUUACUUUUCCCUUACUGAGGAUCUGACCCCCUCUUUUCAAUAUCAACAAAACAUUAACCCUCGAGGUCCAGAAGGGCCCCAGGGACUGCACGGACGAUAUAGUCGUAUUAGAGAGAUUGAAGGCCAUUCAGAGCUGAGGAAAGCGAAAGAACAAACUUAUAUACAACCAGUAGAUGAUGUAGUAAAAAAUGAAAUUAAUAAAUAUAAUGUAAAAAAUAGGAUUAUGGAGACCAAGAAAAAGAAGUAUGAAAAUAGUGAUAACUUUCGUAAAAAUGAAAUUAAAACAGCAGACGAUAAUAAGGUAGAAAAUGUUAAGCAAAAUGAUGCAACAAAACCUGAAGAAGGUGCUGCUGAAGAAGGUUUUCUGGCAGAACUUGGAUUGGUAAAGACGCAUGAAGAUCAAGAGGAAAAAGAAAAGGGUUAUCGUCUCCAUGCUUUCAAUACCCUCAUCUCUACACGACUCUCCUUACAUCGCCCGAUACCCGACACAAGGAAUAAAAGAUGUAUGGAUAUUAAUUAUCCAUUGCAGCUUCCAGCUGCAUCUAUUGUUAUAUGCUUUUACCGAGAAGAUCAUUCUGCUUUACUUCGAACCAUCCAUUCCAUUCUUGACCGAACACCUUCCCACCUCCUUCGUGAAAUCUUGCUGAUUGAUGAUACAAAUAAUGAGAAUUAUCAUGCUGAAGUAUUAGAUGAGAUAGCAGGAAUUAGCAAGAAAAUAAGUGUGCUCCAAACACCCCAGAGGGAAGGCCUAAUCCGAGCUCGUGUUUUUGGUGCAAGACAUGCUUCUGGUGAGGUACUUGUGUUCCUGGACAGCCAUGUUGAGGUAAAUGUGGGGUGGCUGGAGCCACUGUUGGCACGAGUGUCCGAAAACCGCAACCAUGUGGUCACACCAAUCAUUGAUGUUAUUUCUCCUGACACUUUUCAAUACACAGCAUCUCCUCUGGUUCGUGGUGGCUUUAACUGGGGUCUUCAUUUCAAGUGGGAUACAAUCCCGUCUAUAUAUUUUGCUGACAAAAGUAAUUUUGUCAAACCUAUUAAAUCCCCUACCAUGGCUGGAGGUCUUUUUGCCAUGAAUCGCAACUAUUUUAAGGAACUUGGUGAAUAUGAUGAAGGAAUGGAUGUGUGGGGUGGAGAGAAUCUUGAAAUGUCAUUUAGGAUAUGGAUGUGUGGCGGUGAGCUUGAAAUCAUCCCUUGUUCUCGAGUAGGGCAUAUUUUCCGGCGCCGGCGACCAUAUGGUGGACCAGGAGGACAGGACUCCCUUUUGCGAAAUUCAUUGAGAGUGGCUCAUGUUUGGAUGGAUGAGUAUAAGGAGCACUUCUUUAAAAUUCGUCCAGGAGCAGAGCGAGUGGAGUAUGGUAAUGUUUCAGAGAGAAUAAAGCUUCGGAAAGAUCUACGGUGUAAGCCUUUUUCGUGGUAUCUAAGCACUGUAUACCCAGAGCUCGGUUCCCCAGGAGAAGAAAGCAAAGGUAGAAAGAAUGGCAAAGACCAACCAAUGCUUGGUGUCAGACAGUUUCAGCCAUGGAAUAAACGAACUAGGAAUUAUAUACAUAAAUGGCAGAUACGCUUAACUGGGAGCAACCUGUGUGUGGAAUCGGAGGAAGAUGUUUCAAAAAAAGGAUCAAAACUAGUGUUAUCUAAAUGCUCUGAAUGGAACCGCCAAAUCUUCUAUCAGACAGAUCGUAAUGAGCUUGUUCUCGCGCAACUGCUAUGCCUCGAAGCUUCAGAACAUCGACCACGGAUGGGGAAAUGUCAUGAGAUGGGAGCCUCUCAGGAAUGGAGGAUCAAUAACCAGAUGGGUAUAGCUCUGUACAACAUAGCUGUUGGGUUGUGCUUAUCUGCUCAGGAAGAGAAGUUGGGAGCAUCUGUGAACAUGGCAAUGUGCUCUACACCCAAGUUGGCAACGUGGGACCUUGUUGACAUUUUGUAGAACUGCUCAAGGAGACUCCACAGGUCUUAAAUGGCUUUGGAUUCCUUAAGUUUUUCAGAAAUGCUGGUGGAAAUUUAGAAAGACUGGAUGUGGUUGAAUGGCUAGAAAGAGAUGCUAACAACCCAGGAUAUGGUGUGAUGUGCGGAGAAGAGUUUCUCCGGUCUGUUACUGGUGAGGUGGAUGAAGAGCAAGACGAAGAUGGCAAUGAAGAACCAACACCACAGACAACAAAAUACAGUUUACUAAUGUCUUGUGUUGAUAUGCUAAUUAAUGUUUCCUCCAACUGUGCUAAUCCAGAAAUUGGAAACGUGUAUUUUUGGAGGACCAAGGACCUUCAACCAGUGAAGCCUCACAAGCAAGCCAAGGGCUUUCAACCAGUGAGGCUUCAGCAGCUUGGGAGUCAAAACUAACUUUGCAAAGUUAAUGAACUGUACAGCAUUUUUAAGUGUUAAUUUUAGUGUUGUGUUAGGUUAGGUUACGUAAAUUUUCAAGAAUUCUUAACUUCAAGAUGUGUAGCAUCAAUCAAGAAGACAAACUACAACAAAGUAAGCUGAACUUUCUGUUUAAAAUUAAUUACAGUACUGUAUUGGAAUAUUAUAUAAUUAUUGUCUGUGUGUGACAGUUCAAAUUAUGUUGUUUGUGGUACAAAAAUGGUGAAUAUGUUAAUGUUUGGACUUCUUCGGUAUGAAUUCUGCUUAUCCGCAUGUCUGGCUUAUCCAGCAGGGGGUCCUUUCCAUGUAAUUCAGAUAAGCGAGCUUAUACAGUAGUUACUGGCAUCUGUUAAAUUACUAACCCAAAAAAGGCUGUUCUAUUUUGUCUUGUAUAAGGAGUGUAUUUGGCCAGUCUUACAUUUGUUUCAUCUUAACUAACACAGUUCAUAGAUCAUUUACACAUACUGUAGUUAAAUUGACGUUUAACUUUGUCCCUAGAUUAUAAGAAAUUAACAGUACUGUACUUUAAAACUGGAUGAGUUGCAUAACUAAAGACUAAUGCUCUAUAAAUCCUUUGAAUACUGCAACUGCUUUGUAAAGGAGAUAAAUUCUAAGAAGUGAAGUUGAAGGAAUAUUAAUUGAAGGCUCUUUUAUAAUAUUAUCAGACCACUGGGUAAAGCAUUAGACAUCACAACAAUGGGAGUACUCAACUCUACUCAAAUUGCUUAGACUGCAUCAAAACCAAAAAUAAAUCGAUAACAAAAUGUUGACUAGAACAAGUUUUAAAUUCAUGCAACAUUUUACUACAGAUAAUUUAUACAGUAUUUAAUAAAAUAAGUUGUUAGAAGUCAUGUGUGGAUGAUCUGCUUCAGUUAAAAUUGUAUACUUUGUCAAAUCUAAGUGAAGAAAGAAGUUUCUCAUUAUGCAGUUUAGUAGUUUCCUUCAGCAAUAAAGUCCUAAAUGUAAUUCUUGUCCUUGUAUACAAGUCACCAGAUGCAAAUCCACAGCAGUUUAAAGACCAACUAAUGAAUAUCAAAUGCUGUUUAGAAAACUUCACAAAUCCAGCCCCAAACAUCAUCUUGAUUGGUGACUUUGAGUUUAUGGCACCUAAAAUGGAAAGGUGUUGUAAGCACCAUUAUAUCAUGAGAAUCCCAGAAAGCAAUCCAAGUUAUCAAGUCACAUGCAAAUGACAUGGCUGCCACAUCUUUGGGUUCCAUUUUAGUAUUCAAAAUAAGUUGCUUAACCUGCAAAAGGUAAGCUUGAAGACUGAAAUUGUAAUUUAAUGAUGAUUUCAGGUAAGAAUUUUUAAACAAAUUUCAAAAGCAUUUGCCAAUAUCAUGAACUUUUACACAGACAUUCUUAAAAUAGAGCACUGUAUUCUCCAAUUCCAAAAUGUUCUGUUUUGUAAUGCUCACAUGGAAAGUUAUGACUUGGGAUUAUUAUUUAGUGCUUGACAGUCCUUUUCCCAGAAAAGAAGAGCCUCUUCGUGAUGGCACUGGAUGAAAUGGGUAUAUUGAACUUGAUAAACACGUUCUUCAGUGCUGGGCUGGGGUAAAGGUGCUAGUCGACCCAAAUUAUAAAACACUAGAUAUUUUUCUGCUGAGAUUGUACACAACUGAACUAAUUUAAACUAUUUGGGAAAUAUAUUCCUAUAUCAAAUCAAAGACAUUUUGUAUUUGUAAAUAACACAGUUUAACAUGCAGUCCUUCUAGUUGUUCAAAAUUAAAGUAAAAUAUUGUAGUAGCGAGGAACAUCUGACUGCCAAGUAUUGCUUUAAAAUGGACCAUCAGUCUCUCCAUUUCUUUCCUGCCUGGAACAAAAGACAUGGUCACGGUGCUCGUAAUAGACAGAGUUCCAGGAAUUUGGUUCUUUUGGAACUCGGUUCUGCCUACAUUUGCCAAUUUUUUGCAAUAUGGGUCACUCUCCUACAUGCAGAUAUCAACACUAAAAAUUCCCAAAGUAACCUCCAUCUUGUAAAAACUAAUCUAAUUAUAACAUUAGCAUAGAGCAAAUUAAAUGUAAAUGAUUCUGGUAGAACAAGUAGCAUUAUGAUGACUGAAAGCCUCAAGCAGUAAUGUUUGAACACUGUUGUGGAGAAAUAACAGUAUUUAAGAAAUGGGGCUUCAUGGUGCUUCUAUCAUAGUUUCCUCCAGUGAGGUAUGAGGAGGCUUUGUUUUAGAUUACCAUGCUGUACUUUUUGUACUAUUUUGGUGUACCAUUCUGUACGCGCACACUGUCAGGGGUAGCAACUGAAUACAUUCCCAGACUCAUGAGUUCGCUUUUCAUAUUGGUAUUUAUUUUGCUUAGUACUCUUCAUGGACCAUUGAAUUUGAUAAUAAGUUGCCCUAUACUAAAGUCACAAUGCUCUACACAAAAUACCUUAUUUCCUCAUGAUGGUCUCUUUAGCUUUAGUAUUGUGUUUGUCUUUGUACUAACGUCACAUAAAUGGUCAACUUUCAUAAGUGAAGCUUGUCUAACUCGAACACUGGCUGAAGGCCACCAUACUUUUGUCUUGAAGUCUAGGAGAUAAAGUGCCUGAUACUGUAUUAGUAAAGGUUGUAAAGGUUUCAUAAGAAAAAUUUGCAUCAAACUGAUAGAGCAAGAAGUGGGGCAUGUUUCAUCCCACUUUUAAAAAAGCCUAUACAUUGCUUUUCUUCAUCAGAGAAAGCUUUCUGGGGGAGCCCCUUAUGGCUCCUUGAAGCUAUCAUUUUUGACGUAGGUAUCCUCAGUUGCAUCUUCAUGUAGCUCCUACCUUGAGGUUACCUUGAGGUGCUUCUGGGGCUUAGCGUCCCCGCGGCCCGGUCGUCGACCAGGCCUUCUGGUUGCUGCACUGAUCAACCAGGCUGUUGGACGCGGCUGCUCGCAGCCUGACGUAUGAGUCACAGCCUGGUUGAUCAGGUAUCCUUUGGAGGUGCUUAUCCAAAGUGGCAAAAUGCAUCUCAUCUCAAUGCAUCUCAAAUGGAGCUCAGUGGCAAAUGCAUCACAAGUGCAAUUUUUAAUAGAUUUUUCAGGUACUCAUUAAAGUGUUUAAACUCUUGAAGGCUGUUGUAAAUUCUGAGAUAUCACAUUCCUUCAAGAAAGGGAGUCUCCAGAUGACAUAAAGGAUGUAAAGGAACUAUAAUGAAGUUCUGCAGUGUUUUUAUUAUUCGAAGACUUCCAUUUAGCUGUCAUGUAUAUAAUCUUUGAUACUUAAGUAUGCAUGUCUAUGUGAUGUGUAUAAUAUUCUCUCAGGUUUCAUUGAAACAUUGUGAUGUUAUCAUUAUCAGUAUUGAAAUAUCAGUGUAAUGAAUUUUUAAUUGUACAUAAUGUAUAUUUAUGAUGGUGGAAAUGGAGAGCUUUUUUACCAUUAAGUACUUAUUAGGUGUAAAAUUGAAUAGUCCUUUUAAACAGUAGUAAUAAAUGACAGCUUGUUAACUUUAUGACUAUAGAAAGGAAUAAAAGUUAACCUUGUGUUAAUUUAUAUAAGUUUUAUGUAAUGUAAAACAGAGGCAAAUGAUAUUUGUUUUUGUAUAGAUAUUAUCAUUGUUUCUGUCAAAAUAUUGUAUAGUUGAUAAUAGUUGCCACUUAGAAAUCAGCUGCGGUGGCAUGUAUUGGAAUUUGAAAUGUAAACAACUUCGAAAGGUAAUAUUCUGUACAGUAAUAUACAUGUGCCAAAUAUAUUAAAUAUAAAUUAAGAUAUCUUAAAGGUAUUCAAUUUAUCUACAUUUUCAAACCUUGAUAAAACUACAAUUACAAAGAAAGCAAAUACAGUCAGCCCUAACUCUGCACAGGUGCAAAAGACAUAUUUAAUUAGGUAUUAAAUAUAUCAACAUGAUAAAAUACAAAACAAUGCGUAUAACUUGCAUAAAUUUAGAUUUAGGAAAAACGUGGGUAAAUACUGGUUUGUUGAUUUAUGGAACAAAUUACAAGGUAAAAUAAUAGAGAUGGGAUCAUUUAACAUUGUUUCAAUCAUAAGUUACACAUAUGGAUGAGUUUGGGUGGAUAUAGAUAGGAGCUGCCACACGAGCUGCUAGGUCUUCUGCUCUUUUCAUAAUUCUUGUGUUCUUAAGUGUACUGUUUGUGUUGUCAUUUAGUAUUUGACAACCACAUACUAUCUUUGUCACAUUUGGAUAAUAUGCUUGCAUCAUGGCAUGUAAACAUUCUUUAAUGUAUUAUUUACUGUAUUUGUAGCUGGAAAGUAGUGAGAGUAUUAAGUAAUAACAUUCAGAAAGUGUUUUAUUUAGACAGAAAAUGGUCUUUUGGAGUUAAGGAAUGCAUUUGUACUUCCCAAAUAGUUAACAUCACAUGAUACAAAUUUCUUCUGCACAAAAAUUUACAAGAAUGCAUUCGUUGUGCAGAUUAAGGGCUGACUUUACGUGUGUGUAUCAGCAUGCAUGUGUUUCGUAUACAAUAUAUUCAUAAGCAUAUACUGUAUAUUGAUGAAAAACAUUGUUCUGAAUGCAGAUCAGUGGUGACUGCUCCACUUAUGUGAUAGCCAAAUGAUCUUGUAGAAUUCUUUGCCAAACAUUUGUUUAGCAUUUCUCAAGUCCUUUGGUGUUAAGGCUUAAGAAAUGCCUUAGAGAUUCUACAAAGGUCAACUCUUCACGAAAGAGUAAUUCCCAGCAGAAAUAAGGUAUCAUAUAUACUGUACAGUAUUUAUUUAAGUGAUCAUUAUGAAUUCACAUUUUACAUACAGUUUUUUGCAAUUGCAUGUACCAAAAUCUAUGUUUUCAUUUAUAUAAUUUUACAAUAAUAAAUUUCCUCUUAA
rnacentral:misc_RNA from 1 species